UACGUAGGGGGCAAGCGUUGUCCGGAUUUAUUGGGCGUAAAGAGCGCGUAGGCGGCUUUGCAAGUCCGUUGUGAAAACUCGAGGCUCAACCUCGAGACGCCGGUGGAAACUGCAAAGCUAGAGUCCGGAAGAGGAGAGUGGAAUUCCUGGUGUAGCGGUGAAAUGCGCAGAUAUCAGGAAGAACACCUAUGGCGAAGGCAGCUCUCUGGGACGGUACUGACGCUGAGACGCGAAAGCGUGGGGAGCGAACAGG
rnacentral:rRNA from 1 species